rnacentral:rRNA from 1 species
CGAAAGCCUGACGGAGCAAUACCGCGUGAGGGAAGAAGGCCUUUGGGUUGUAAACCUCUUUUCUGAAGGAAGAAGUUCUGACGGUACUUCAGGAAUAAGCAUCGGCUAACUCCGUGCCAGCAGCCGCGGUAAUACGGAGGAUGCAAGCGUUAUCCGGAAUCAUUGGGCGUAAAGAGUCCGUAGGUGGUUUAGCAAGUCUGCUGUCAAAGACUGCGGCUUAACCGCAGAAAGGCAGUGGAAACUGCAAGACUAGAGUGCGGUAGGGGUAGAGGGAAUUCCCAGUGUAGCGGUGAAAUGCGUAGAUAUUGGGAAGAACACCAGUGGCGAAAGCGCUCUACUGGACCGAAACUGACACUGAGGGACGAAAGCUAGGGGAGCGAAAGGGAUUAGAUACCCCUGUAGUCCUAGCCGUAAACGAUGGAAACUAGGCGUAGCUUGUAUCGACCCAAGCUGUGCCGAAGCUAACGCGUUAAGUUUCCCGCCUGGGGAGUACGCACGCAAGUGUGAAACUCAAAGGAAUUGACGGGGGCCCGCACAAGCGGUGGAGUAUGUGGUUUAAUUCGAUGCAACGCGAAGAACCUUACCAGGACUUGACAUCCGACGAAUCUCUUUGAAAGGAGAGAGUGCCUUCGGGAGCGUCGUGACAGGUGGUGCAUGGCUGUCUUCAGCUCGUC